CUACGGAGGGGGCGAGCGUUAUUCGGAAUCAUUGGGCGUAAAGGGCGCGUAGGCGGCCUGACAAGUCAGGGGUGAAAUCCCUCGGCUCAACCGAGGAACUGCCUCUGAAACUGUCAGGCUUGAGGCCGGGAGAGGGUAGUGGAAUUCCCAGUGUAGCGGUGAAAUGCGUAGAUAUUGGGAGGAACACCAGUGGCGAAGGCGGCUACCUGGACCGGUUCUGACGCUGAGGCGCGAAAGUGUGGGGAGCAAACAGGAUUAGAAACCCCAGUAGUCC
rnacentral:rRNA from 1 species